UACGUAGGGUGCGAGCGUUAAUCGGAAUUACUGGGCGUAAAGUGUGCGCAGGCGGCCGAGCAAGUCGAGUGUGAAAGCCCCGAGCUUAACUUGGGAACUGCGCUCGAAACUACCUGGCUAGAGUGUGGCAGAGGGAGGUGGAAUUCCACGUGUAGCGGUGAAAUGCGUAGAGAUGUGGAGGAACACCGAUGGCGAAGGCAGCCUCCUGGGCCAACACUGACGCUCAUGCACGAAAGCGUGGGGAGCAAACAGG
rnacentral:rRNA from 1 species